CUUCCUGGGAGAGGCAGCCUGGGCCUGGGCAACAGGGUGGUGCCAGAGUCGGGGCCGCUGGGAUCCUGCCAACGACUCCUCCCUGCAUGGCUGACCUUGGUCUCUUUCCUUCCUGACACCUCCGUUUCUUCCCAGGACAGGGGAGGCGGUCAUGCAUACUCCCGAAAGCCUGCCAGCUCUCUGCCUGGAGACUUGCCUGUGGUCACAAUGUGUCACCUCCCAGGAGAUGUUCCACUUUUCAAGCAGUGCCCAGAGGAACUGGAAGCAGCCCAAAGAAGGGGAAAGGAGACGCGUUUGUGUGAAUUUCAAUCAGCAGUUGGUUCAGAGGCAAAAAGAAGCUGCCUUGCGUUCCGAGAGGUCCGCGCGAAGGUGCCUUUCAGCUCUGAGCUGCCAGAGCAUUCUGGGGCUGAACCUACAGCCAGCUGGAGUCCUGAGCCUGCCCGGGGCGCCACGGGUUAAACCACUCCCGUGAAUGUGCUGGCUGGCCUCAGAGCAAACGGGGAUAGUGGGCUGGCUCGUGUUCUGCACUAACGCAUUGGCUUUUUUUCCACUGCAGCCUCCCAUUCUCUGAUAAACCUGAGUUGCUAGGAAAGCUUUAUGUAACACCCGUCGCCGGCCUCAGCUUCUCUGAGCAGCAAGUGUUCUGUUUCCAGAGUUCCCCAUAAACCUGGCAGAACAUCAAAACCUCUGUUUCAUAACAGACCAGAAAUAGGAUUUUCUAAUAACAUUCUGAGGACUGGACUUAUCGUGCAGGGGUCUGGACUUUUAUGAAUUGUUAAUGGUUAACUAAACAGAGACCUCCACGAUGCUCAACCUGCUAUCUCUGGGGUCGAGGAGGGGAGGGGAGUCGGAAGAAUGUGGUGUCUCCAGCCACGAUCUGUUGGUUCGUGACCUGUGGCCCCUUUCAGAGAAUUUGCUAAAUAAUCUCAAACAUAUUGAGGCUCUCACUCAUGUUUUAAAAAAAGAACAGGAGGGAAAAAAGCUACCCUCUUCCUGCUCGUUUCUUCAUUCAUGGAGAAUGUGGUUUCCUCUUAUUUUGUUGCCAGGUACGCUGACAGUGACAGACGUCACCCCCAGCUUUCCUCUGGGAUGGGCAGCGCUCGUCACUGGACACACCUAGUGUGGGCGAUCCAAUUCUCCCUAUGCAACACACAGCUGCACAGCUAAACCUCAAACCCGCGAACUGUGGGCUGAUGGAGGGACUGCUGCAGGAAAGAAGGCAGCAUGAGGCGACCUCGCCCUCCUCCCUCACAUCCAGGGCUCACCUCCCUGGCCGGCCACCCUGCCUGGUCCGGUCCUGGUUCAGAUUGUGACAGGGAUAGGAGUUCCCUCCAAAAGGCCAUUUGCAGUCUAUUUAGCUGUCUCUUGGGAGACUUCUUCCGGGGUUCCAGCUACAUAUCCCUUUGUUCCAUGUCGUCAGGUCUGUCUUCCUUCGGGUUCUGCCUGGACCGUCUUUCUUCUGCCCUCCGUGUGCUGUCAACACAUGAGCAUCACUUCAAAACAAAAGUAGCCCCAGGAAAGCGCGACUGUUGAGGGCAGGGCUUGGGGUCAGUCAGGCUCACUUUUGGGGAGGAUUCGGUGUCACUGGAGGCACAGCUGCCUCCAGCAAUAAGGGGAUGCUGCGAGAAGAUGCGGCCUCGCAGCUCCCCGCCUCCCCUCCUGCAUCCCUGCCGUCUCCCAGCCGUUUCCCCCGUCAGCUCUCUGGACUCCUCUGAACACCCCAGGGGAGGCUGAGCUGCGCUGCACGCGCCCCCCCCCCCAGCCCUCGCUCCGCGCUCCUGUGUGCUUUCCCUGUUUUGAGCUUAAUUGCCACCUUUCCCUCCCCGGCCUCCUCAAACAGCUCCCGCAUUCCUCUCCCUUCUCAUUUUCGGAACUUUGGUCCCCAGAGGCACCAGCUCAGGACUCUGCAGGACGGUCCUCACUGACUGUUUCCUCCGCUGUCACAGACGUGAUUUCUCCGGCGUCUCUGGUGUUUGUGGCUCUUUCCUACUUGGUUUCAUCAGAGUGUAAUUUACCUGCUAUUUACCCUUUCUUCUGGAUCCCGAGCAAAAAUGAUAACGAAAAGCCUCCUGUCCCGUCACGGCUGUGCCCGUGCCAAGCAGGGCCCUCGGGAAGCCCACCCACCCACAUGGCUCCAUGGAAACCAGCCAGAGGGGCUUCGCUCCCAGGGUGAGAUUUAAUAUCCCUGAGAUCCAUUUAGUGUCUGGACACCUGGUUGCUAUGGAGAUGGUUGUCAUAAAAACACACCGAUCAGUGGAGAGAUAGAAAACCGGGUCCGCGGUACCCGAUCAGAUGCGGUAGCUCAGAGGAAGGGCUGCUUACCGCCUCCCUUUGUUGACACAGGGCCUCUGCCUUUCAAACUCAUCCUGGGAGACCUUCUCAGAACCAGGCCAACGCAAAUCCACUUCAGUUAGUAUUUCGUAAGGGACAGUCAAGGGCUUCACUAAAUGCCAGAUGCCCCAUCCUCCUGUCCCGAGCUGAGUCAGCCCAGGAGAAGACGAUGUUCCUCUCUGGCACAGUCUGUUCUCUGCUGUCGUUGAUCCAUCAGCCCAGCCGAGCAGGCAGAGUGAAAACUCUGACCCUGACGGCGCUUCAGACCAGGUGGCUGGGAGUGAGUAACAGGUGUGAGCAGGGAGGCCUUGGAUGCACUGCCCUGUUUGCAGGGGCCCCCAGAGAGCAACCCAGGAGGUAUUGUAGACCUGUGUCUGUCGUCUGCCAGCUCAGGAUGGGUGAUUUCAUCAAGAGACACCAGUAAGGUGUGUAGUGUGUAGGCGUCCACUAACCACCUUCACCUCCUCGUCAUCUGAAGUCUCAAAGCCUGCGUUCUGUGAUCACCAGCUAAAGGUUAAUCUCCCUCUUGGUCUGGUCUAUGUGCAGAAACCAGGAAAGUAUUUCUGUCCUCUCUCUUGACUGUGCAGCUCUGGGUGUAAAGGGGCAGGCACAAGGCACCCAGCGUAGCUGGAGUCCUUCUGAAAUUUAUGCUGGGUAGGGGGUGAAAGGAGGAUUUGGGUUCCUAUUUUUAGCUCUGCCCUCCUGGAGUAGGAAAUGACUGGGGGGAAAAAAAAAGCAGCUCUGGUGGCAGCUGCACUGUGAAUGCAGGGAAGGUUUGCUCUCGAGCCGGCUCCCAUCAGCAAGCCUGCAUCAGCACCUGAGAUCUGGCCACCUUCUGUGCCCUGUCUUCUCUGGGAAGAUGUCUGAAUUCUGGAAAUGGGUCAUAACCUAGUCGUCGACCUGGUCUUCGAUCUUCAACAACUCCCUUGAUUACCCAGGGCCUCAGUUGCCUUCUAGUUUAUCGGGGGCUGUAUUUCUGUUUCUGUUUAAUACCAAACAGCAUUUCAAACUCCUUUUGCUUUGUGCAUCUUCUCAUACUGCCACUGAGAGAGGAGGUAAACAUGAGAUCCGGACUAAUGUGUACAGCUCUGAGGACAGUGAACGCAUUCAUUGUGCACAACAUUAGUAUGAAAUGCAAUGUCACGUUCCUAGUACCCUGGAUAUACUGGAUGGCAUUAAAAAUAAUUGCCUCUAGAAGA